rnacentral:rRNA from 1 species
UACGGAGGGGGCAAGCGUUAUCCGGAAUCACUGGGUUUAAAGGGUGCGUAGGCGGCUUGAUAAGUCAGGGGUGAAAGCCAGCAGCUUAACUGCGGAACUGCCUUUGAUACUGUCGAGCUUGAAAGAGGUUGAGGUCAGCGGAACGUGACAUGUAGCGGUGAAAUGCAUAGAUAUGGCACAGAACACCGAUUGCGAAGGCAGCUGGCUGGACCUACUUUGACGCUGAGGCACGAAAGCGUGGGGAGCGAACAGG